rnacentral:lncRNA from 1 species
GGACGUGGAGCACGUGUGGGAGAGGCUCUGUGAAGUGGGCUUCGGGCCUGAUCUUCGGACCAGAAGGAGGUUAAAAACAUGCUGCUCAACACAGCUGUGCUGCCAGUUGCAAGGAGCCUCAUUCUAGAUCUUUCCUGAGCCUGAUGGAUUUACAGUGAUGUCCAAAUCUCCUGGGGAAUAAGGAGACCACUGGUGGAAGCUCGCCCUGGAAUUACACACACCUGGCACAUUUUAGGAUGGUACAAGGGAUUUUAAGGAAGACCCCUGGCAGAGGGCUCCGUGGUUUCUUCCAGCCUGGAUGCCUUCAGGGGAUGCACAGAGGACCUCAGCUGCCAGCUCCCUCUGGCUCCCUCUGAAACAAUCUGGCUACACCUGGGAUCUAAGUGCUUUUCGUCUGAGAAAAUGCAUCUCUAUUCAGCCCCUCGGGACUUCCCCGAAGGAAAGAUAGGAUAUUUGAGGUAAGGGAUGUUCUCCUGAGCCUGGUGGGAGCAAAUGUGACUUUC